rnacentral:snoRNA from 1 species
GAUACAUGGUGCGAACAUUUCUGAAUCAAUGUUUUAAAACGUUCCUAAGCCCCAUGAAAACUUUCUCCUUCCAUCUGUUUAAAGACAACAAUUUUUCUUCUUAGGUG